rnacentral:rRNA from 1 species
GACGAACCGUGCGAACGUUAUUCGGAAUCACUGGGCUUAAAGGGCGCGUAGGCGGGCGGUCAAGUCAGAGGUGAAAUCCCACGGCUCAACCGUGGAAGUGCCCCUGAUACUGGCCGUCUCGAGGGAGGUAGGGGCGUGCGGAACUUCCGGUGGAGCGGUGAAAUGCGUAGAUAUCGGAAGGAACACCGGUGGCGAAAGCGGCGCGCUGGAUCUCUACUGACGCUGAGGCGCGAAAGCGUGGGGAGCAAACAGG